UACGUAGGGCGCAAGCGUUGUCCGGAAUUAUUGGGCGUAAAGAGCUCGUAGGCGGUCUGUCGCGUCUGUUGUGAAAACUCGAGGCUCAACCUCGGGCUUGCAGUGGAUACGGGCAGACUAGAGUGCGGUAGGGGAGACUGGAAUUCCUGGUGUAGCGGUGGAAUGCGCAGAUAUCAGGAGGAACACCCGUGGCGAAAGCGGCUCUCUGGGACGGUACUGACGCUGAGACGCGAAAGCGUGGGGAGCAAACAGG
rnacentral:rRNA from 1 species